rnacentral:rRNA from 1 species
UACGGGGGGGGCAAGCGUUGUUCGGAAUUACUGGGCGUAAAGGGCUCGUAGGUGGCCAACUAAGUCAGACGUGAAAUCCCUCGGCUUAACCGGGGAACUGCGUCUGAUACUGGAUGGCUUGAGUUCGGGAGAGGGAUGCGGAAUUCCAGGUGUAGCGGUGAAAUGCGUAGAUAUCUGGAGGAACACCGGUGGCGAAGGCGGCAUCCUGGACCGACACUGGACACUGAGGAGCGAAAGCCAGGGAGCAAACGGG